CCAAUUGCCUUCGGCUUUGGUUGCGUUAUUCUGUUGUAAGCUCUAAAGUAUUGUCUCCGUUGCUGCAGCCAUUCGAGUCGACCGUCUGUCGUCGAGCCAACUGGCUACGCCAAAUGCGGGGUUGUGUCGUUUCCCCAUGGCCUCCUGUUCAUCUACUUCUCGCAGUGCUUUUCCUUCAACCGCUUACCGACUGUAAGGGGAACAGGAGAACAAUAAGGAGGAUAAGAGAAGAAGAGAACAAUAAGCAGGAUGGAGAAGUAGUUUCGGAGGACCGAGGAGAAGAAGAAGACGAGAGGAAGGAAAGGAGGACCGUGCGAGGAGGCGUUAAGGAAGAAGGAAGUUCAAGGAAAACCUGGGGAAAGGAUGAGAAAGCUGAGUCAGCUCGAGGAGUUGAGAAAGAUAUAUAAGAAGUAGUCCUUAGUAGAUUAGAUGCAUAGCCCCGCGCAGCCUAGUCUUCUCGAAUCCUUCAGUCUACAAAGCCACAUCGUUUACACUCAGAGCUUCUAGUUCGAUUAAAUACAAACGACCAAGGACAACGAAACUGUUGUAGCUUAAGGUACUUUCCGGCGUCUACGAGGACAGUGGUGCCGCUACACGGAUCUCCAAUGUCUGAUGGCCCUUCUCCGAUUCAACGAUAGACUGCAAAAUAGCUCUACUCAAAUCAUACCUUGACGUAGUGUAUCCGACUGAGACGUAAUAUCAAUAAACAGCGAUUGUAUGACAAUCUAUCUCUCGUCAGUAGGAGGGAAGAUUCAAUCGGUCCACAAGCGAACUAUUCGAUCGUUCUCAAGGUCUUCUUGAGCCAUGUGUUUGCGAGCCAACACAUUCCUCCCCCAAAAAUUUUUGAAGAGAGUAACGAGUUCUAACAAGUUCCUCCCAUCGUCGAUGGAAUCGGCUUCAGUCUCCUCAAAGGUAUGGGUAGAAAAUAUACUGACACCUCCACAGCGUAAGUCAAGGAACUCCUCUGCAUUGUUUUCGUCAUCAGUACUAUCUUCUAUUUGUCGAGGUCGUCGCGACAUGGCAUCCGCAACCAGAUGUUUAUUCCCAGGGACAUGUUUCAUUUCGAAGUCGUUCGACAGUAUAUACCAUACCCAUCUACCUUCAAGUCACCGAAGGGUAGCUUGGAGAGUUGAUCAUCUGUUUCAAUGAGGUGCAGUUAUGUUCGAGUAUGAAUCGGCAUCCAUGGUUCCAAGGUCGAGCAGCUUUCAUCGCAAUGAAUACACCAUACAGCUCCAGUUUUGGCUGACUAUAGCGCUGUUGAACUUCAUCAUAGUAAAUACUCGUGUAUAGACAGGCCUUCUACGACCUUUCUCAUCCAUUUGCGUAAGAUCAAGCCCACACGCAGUGUUGCUAGCAUCGACUGCAAAAAUAGGCGGGUACUUGUCUACUCCCGCUACUAAAGCCCGAGCAGCUUCCUGACUCCACUCAAAUCAGAGUCUGUUAGUUUGAGAAGGUCAUUCAUAGGUUUCACAAGCUCUCCGUAGCGACGAGUCCAUGUCCUCGCGACGCUGUUCACAUCGCAAGUGUGCUCAAAGACAAAUUUUCUCUUACCACCCUUGAUUGUUACGUCAUCUAUGUAGACUGGGAGGAUCUCGGGCUUUUCGUCUGCGACGGAAGAUGAACUCCAUCACCCUAUGGAAAGCUGUGACCGCGUUUUUCCAGCCUUGCACCAUCUUAAUAAGCCAUAACGUUCCCAUUGGGCUCUCGAAGCUGGUAACGUUGCGGGAGUCAGGACGUAGUUCUAGUUGAUCAUAUCCUGCAAAGGCAUCCAACCCGGUGUACGUAGGUGGCACGGCAGGCUAUGUAGGCUCUCAGUCAUUUCGUCCAUGUUAGGCGGUAACCCCGGUAUCGGGAAUGUUAACUGCAUUCAGUUUCUGCAAGUCGUGGACAAGCCUAAUUCUUCCCUCUUUCUUUUGUACUGCAAAGAAGGCCGACCUAUAUGGAGAUUGUGACCUCUCAUACAAGCCACUUUUUUUUCUCUUUGAGAAAAGCGAUAACAUCCUCCUUAGACUUGGCAGCCAUGCGAAUCAUCUUAUCCUGCCACGGCACAUGGGGAAUGAGG
rnacentral:sRNA from 1 species